rnacentral:rRNA from 1 species
UGGGGAAUCUUAGACAAUGGGGGCAACCCUGAUCUAGCCAUGCCGCGUGAGUGAUGAAGGCCUUAGGGUUGUAAAGAUCUUUCAGCUGGGAAGAUAAUGACGGUACCAGCAGAAGAAGCCCCGGCUAACUCCGUGCCAGCAGCCGCGGUAAUACGGAGGGGGCUAGCGUUGUUCGGAAUUACUGGGCGUAAAGCGCACGUAGGCGGACCAGAAAGUUGGGGGUGAAAUCCCGGGGCUCAACCCCGGAACUGCCUUCAAAACUAUUGGUCUGGAGUUCGAGAGAGGUGAGUGGAAUUCCGAGUGUAGAGGUGAAAUUCGUAGAUAUUCGGAGGAACACCAGUGGCGAAGGCGGCUCACUGGCUCGAUACUGACGCUGAGGUGCGAAAGCGUGGGGAGCAAACAGG